GGGGUUGUGGCUCAGUUGGUAGAGCGCUUGCUUAGCGUGCAUGAGGUCCAGCGUUCAAUUCGCUGCUGCUCCA
rfam:Taphrina deformans PYCC 5710 genomic scaffold, scaffold00164